rnacentral:rRNA from 2 species
UGGGUGGAUUAGUGGCGAACGGGUGAGUAACACGUGAGUAACCUGCCCCUGACUCUGGGAUAAGCGUUGGAAACGACGUCUAAUACUGGAUACGACUGCCGGCCGCAUGGUCUGGUGGUGGAAAGAUUUUUUGGUUGGGGAUGGACUCGCGGCCUAUCAGCUUGUUGGUGAGGUAAUGGCUCACCAAGGCGACGACGGGUAGCCGGCCUGAGAGGGUGACCGGCCACACUGGGACUGAGACACGGCCCAGACUCCUACGGGAGGCAGCAGUGGGGAAUAUUGCACAAUGGGCGAAAGCCUGAUGCAGCAACGCCGCGUGAGGGAUGACGGCCUUCGGGUUGUAAACCUCUUUUAGUAGGGAAGAAGCGAAAGUGACGGUACCUGCAGAAAAAGCACCGGCUAACUACGUGCCAGCAGCCGCGGUAAUACGUAGGGUGCAAGCGUUGUCCGGAAUUAUUGGGCGUAAAGAGCUCGUAGGCGGUUUGUCGCGUCUGCUGUGAAAUCCCGAGGCUCAACCUCGGGCUUGCAGUGGGUACGGGCAGACUAGAGUGCGGUAGGGGAGAUUGGAAUUCCUGGUGUAGCGGUGGAAUGCGCAGAUAUCAGGAGGAACACCGAUGGCGAAGGCAGAUCUCUGGGCCGUAACUGACGCUGAGGAGCGAAAGCGUGGGGAGCGAACAGGAUUAGAUACCCUGGUAGUCCA